CUCACGUAGAAGAGAGCUUUAGCUGAUGGGUUUCUCAUGUUAAUUCCAUUUUCUUCUUCCUUUAACCAAUUUCGUCCUCCAUUAGAGGGGUUUUUGAAGCACCAUUUAGAGAGACUUGUAGUGAGAGUUUGAUGUUGAGCUGUGAAUGAAAAAUGACCUAGAGGGAAUGAGGUUUCCAUUGAUAUAUUAUUUGUAGCCAUUCCUUUAUCCAUGGGUUUCAGAAAGUGCCUUGAAAAGAGGAGGAUCUUAGUUGUGUUUCAAUGGAAAGUUCUUCAUCUUCAUCAUCUUGUUGGUGGGUUUGAUCAUCUCUUGGGUAGCUUUGGAAUGGUUUUGCCAAGGGUUGAACUCCCUUGAGGUUAUGGACAAGAGGUCGUAUAGGGAAUUCCUCCACAGCCAUGGAUGGACGUUGGGUUCUAUUUGGUUAUAUAUCUUUGUAUAAAUGGGAAAUGCAUAUUUUGAGAUCAACAUGUAUAUUUGUAAAUAUUUUUCCAAAACAAAUCGUGUUAAAAUAUUGUAAUUAAAGGGUUAUAGGAUUUUAAUUAUGAAACCUACUUUUAUAUUUUCAGAUAA